rnacentral:rRNA from 1 species
UCUGACACAGGUGCUGCAUGGCUGUCGUCAGCUCGGUGUCGUGAGAUGUUGGGUUAAGUCCCGUAACGAGCGCAACCCUUGUCCUUAGUUACCAGCACGUUAUGGUGGGCACUCUAAGGAGACUGCCGGUGACAACGAGGAAGGUGGGAUGACGUCAAGUCAUCAUGGCCCUUACGGCCUGGGCUACACACGUGCUACAAUGGUCGGUACAAAGGGUUGCCAAGCCGCGAGGUGGAGCUAAUCCCAUAAAACCGAUCGUAGUCCGGAUCGCAGUCUGCAACUCGACUGCGUGAAGUCGGAAUCGCUAGUAAUCGUGAAUCAGAAUGUCACGGUGAAUACGUUCCCGGGCCUU